CUUGAUGUGCAGAACGCUUUUCUUCAUGGAUUGCUUGAAGAAGAGGUUUACAUGCGGCAGCCACCUGGAUUUGUUGAUCACAGUCAGCCUCAUCAUCUCUGUCAUCUGACGAAGGCCAUAUAUGGACUGAAGCAGGCUCCCCAUGCCUGGCAUGCUCGCCUGGCUUCAGCUCUACACACUCAUGGGUUCAUUCCUUCGACGGCUGAUACUUCACUGUUCUUGUUUCACCGAUCGAGUGUGACCAUGUACCUCCUUGUGUAUGUGGAUGAUAUUGUCCUGGCGAGCUCAUCUCCGACGGCUGCUGAUGUUCUUGUGACUGCACUUGGUCGUGAUUUUGCAGUUAAGGAUUUGGGACAGCUUCAUUUCUUCCUG
rnacentral:rRNA from 1 species